UUGUGCACAGGGCAAGGAUCUAAUCCUAUUUGGUCUUGUACUUAUGUGCUUUUGGUUUUUCAAUCUUAUAUUGUACCGUACGAUACAACGUCUUAAGAUUUGGACCGUUGGAUCAAUCCAUUUGUAUGAUCCUUGACAAAGAGGCGGAUUUCGAAACGAUACCCUCGUAUCAUCAAUUGCAAUUAUGCAAGAGCUCUCUUCAAACCUUUUAAUUAUCACUAAUUAUUAAUCUUUUUUAUUAAUAUAGUAUUUUUCUUUUUUUUUUAAUUUUUUUCUUUUCCUGGAAUUGGAUGGAAAACUGUUGGAAUUCUCCAUUGUUUUCAUCUACCAUUUAUUAAUCAUUAAUCUUUUGUUUUCUUCUCUCUUUUUUUUUUUAUUUAUUUUUCUGGAGAAACGCUUCCUUCUUUUCACCUUUUUCUUUCCACCAAAUGUUUUGUUUUUGACUAUGCAGCAGUGCAAAUGGCCUAGUGGGUACUUUCUGCUUCAUAUAUAAUUUUUAAUGUUUUUCCUGGUUGAAGAAUUGGGUUUGGAUCUGGGAAUUCAGGUUCAAGGUUGUUCAUCAUCAAGGUUUUCUGAACUUUGUUUUAGGCUCUCUCUUUUUCUGUGAAUUUUAAGGUUAGGGUUGUUUAUGCUUGUAAAAUUUUAGCAUAUUUUAAGUCUUUUUGCUUUUAAUUGUUUUCCUAAGACUUUUUUUUUUUUGGCUUUGAGUGAGAAAAACUCAUCUUUGUUUCUUCUAGAAAUCUUAAUAAUGCUUUAGUUUGGACUUUAUUUUUAGGUCUUUUUUUUUUUAAACCGACUUGGUCUUGGUUGCUGAGAAAUAUGGAGAAAACAAAGACUAGAAAAAUUUUGGUUUAUUUGCUCUUUUUGUGUGUUUGUGUGCGUGUGUUUAAACAAUAUUAUUGGCUAUUUUUUUAAUAAAAAAUUUGCAAAUCUUAAGUUGUUUGAUCAGUUUUUUAAAUUGUUUAUCCUUAGUCCUUAGAAAUUGUUUAUGGCUGAAGCUAGGCCUUUAUAAUAUAUAUGCAUGAUUACAUCUAAAAGUUCCCCCUUUUUCCAUCAGCUUGUCCUGUUAGGGAGACUCUGGUGGGUUUUUGGUGAUAACUAGCUGCAUCUAUAACGAAAACUAUAGAUAGGAUAGGAAAGGUUCCCAGGAUAUUUCUUUGUAAAUUUAGAUCAAAGUUGUCAUUUGUCACUGUAUGUGAUAUUACUUAUUUUCAGAAUCAAUGCUUUCAAAAUUAUGUUUUAUGGAACUAUCUUGUCUUGAAUCCUAUGCUGUUACCUGAUAUUUUGACUUUUGAUUCUCGUUAUAUGUUUUUAAUUAUCCAAAGUUCAAAUUCCUGUCUGUUAAAAGGAAACCCCAUCUACUUUCAUGUUUGAAAAGAACCCAUAUUUCUGUCAGCACUACUAUAUGUAUCAGACAGUAUUAUACCUUUGUGUUUUCGGUCCUAUUCAUGGGAAUCUUAUGAUUGUUUUUCUUUGUGUUUCUUCGAGUGUCAUAGCUGAUGAUGUUUAUGAAUAUAAGAUAUUGGUGACUUCAAAGAAAUGUUCUUAGAUGCCACUUUGUCUAUACAGAUUUUGCGCAUAGAGGAUUAUGUAAUUAUAAGUGUUUUCUGCAUGUACUUACAUGAUAUUUUUACAUUUAUCUUUAAUUUUUCGGGAUUGCUAGAAUCAUGAGUUUUGGAUGCAUUUCUACUACUUUGGAGUCAAUGGAAACUGAAUUUAUGAUGUUCUAUGACAGUCAAUAUAACAAAACCGCUUGUACUUUCUAAAUUUUACUUUGAGAUUUGAUAUAUUAUCAAAUGAUAAUGAAAGAGAGCACGCUAAUUUUUAUUUAUGUAAGGACAUAGUUGUGUACAAGCGUGCUCUUUAUCGUUGUCAUAUGAUCUGUACAAAAUUAUCUUUUCUCAGUAUCUAUCUUUGUUGCCGCAAUACAGGUAACUCAACUUUCUCAUACAGCUAAAAUUUGAAUUUUGCGUUAAUUCUUUUAAUGAAACAUUAAUCAUCAAUUUAUUGUUUGAUCAUUUAUCUAUUGUUUUAUGUACAUAUGUGUAUUUUUUGUCUAAUCAUUCAUUAGUUCCUGAUAUACUUUUUAACUUUAAUAUAUAUUUGUAAUCCCUUCUUCGUUGUUGGUGAGUCUACAAUGAUUUGCUUCUCAAGAUGCAAUAGUUGCUCUAUACAAAUGGUUUUUUUGCUUUGCGCCUUUAGGGCACAGGUUAAGUUAUUUCUUUCAGAAAUAUUUUUGCUUUCAUUGCAUUGAAAAUUAAAUGCAAUACAAGCCUUAAAAUUCUUGUUUGAUAUGUUAUCUUAACCUAUGCACAGGUAAAAAAAAAAAAACCAUUUGCAAGAUGUAUUGAAUUUGUCAAAGAGAGAGAUGGAUUAUAUUUCUUUGAUAUUAUGGGAAGGUCUUUCAACACACUCUUCGAACAUUAAGGCACAGCUUAUGAUAAAUAUAUGAAAAUAAUAAAUAUUUAGUAUAUGAUAACAUAAUUAAGCACUAAAGAUCAUUUUCAAACUUAAUCUUGAACUUUAAAUAAGUUUUGGAAUACACCUACAUCAUUAAUGCAUUAAGUAAUGAAUUGAAGAUGUUUCUUAUUCUCUAAUAUAAUAUUCUAAUGAGCUAAUCUUGUUUAGGUAUUUUUAUUUAUAUCUGCUGUGUAAUUUGUGGUGCAAUCAAAGUAACUGUCAUUAUAAUUGUCACCAUUGUUGUACCACCACCAAUUCUUGCUUCACUACCUUCCUUGCCAUGAAAAUAAGUGUAGCUAUUUUCACUACUACAAUUUUUAAUGAUUCUACUAGUAUUGGGUCUAUAAUGACAACUACUAUAACCAUUAGGUGUUCAGUUUAAAUUAUUGAAGAUGGGCUUUGGUAGGUGUCUUAUAGAUAGGAAGUGCCUGUUUUGGAUAUCUUGCUUGAUAUCAACAUAAAAUUACUGAUGAUAGAGUGAUUUGUAUUUUAUAGUAAGAAGGGUACUUUUGUCCAAAAAUUUUCCCUCAUCUUUACAAAUUGGUUAUGAAAUAUGAAUCUUCUUAAGUUUGAUUGACUCUUAAUUACUUAAACAAAGCAAUUAAGAUUACCAACAAGACAUAAAAGCUGCCUUCUUUAAGACUUUUACACUGUGUUUUUUCUUUCUUCUUUUCCUUGGAUUGGUUAAGUGUUUUUUCUCAACUUCUAUUGAAAAAAAAAUUGGAAAAAAUUGUUUAGGUUAUUCCUUAUCUAAAAUGGACUAUAUUGCUCAGAUGAAGGUCCUUUGGAUUAGUAGUUUAUCUGUAAUGUUAAUAUUAUGUUUUCUUUAUUGAAAUUUAUCAUAUUUGUUUAAUUUGACAAAAUGAUUUUCUAGAUGACUGGCCAAUGGCAAUAAGAUUUUGUCUCAUAAUUCUCACUUAUAAGUUUUAUUGUGAAUAAUUUGAUUUUUAGUUUGCCAUUCUCUAGUUGAGAUCUAAACUUUAAUCACUCAGAUGAUAUGGAUUUGAGGGAAUGAAGUUAUUUUCAUCAUUAGAAAGAAGAAAUGGAAAACUCAUUGAGAUGUUAGAUCCAUAUAGCUACAUGUAUUAUCUAUUUUGUUUCAAGUAUUCAAUUAAUUAAAGUUAUGUUCUUAGGAUUGUACUUUGUAUCUACUUAAAUAGCUAGAUUCAGUGGUCCUUUUUUCCUCAUUGCACUAAUACACACUUAUAUUAAGAAAGUUGUAUCAUUGUUACGGUAACAGAAUGUGAUUUUGGUGUGUUGCAGGUUUUUGUUUGUAGUUUGUGUUUGUUUUCACAAUCAUGUUAAGUUUUUAUUGUUAGUUUUGAUCCACAGUGCUUAUCUUUGGCAUAUUUGAAUGAUUGUAGGAUGUUCUUUUAUAUAUUGUCAACAUUUAAAACAAAUUAUUUGUUAGAUUCCUAAUGUAGUACUUAUUCAUGCUGGCUUUGCAAUUUCUUUUCUUAAUUCAAGAUUAUAGGGUCUAUUCUUCUUUUGAUUAUAUUGUUCUUUGUAGGCUGUAUACAUAUCUUGCUUAUAUGCUGUGUGUUGUAUAAGAGUUUCCUUGUCACCUUGAUUUUCGCUAAUGUGAAAGAUAAGUUUGUCUAGGUAACUUAUUUGCCACUGCUUUUUGGAUGUGUCUUAUAUUUUAUAAUAACUUUUACUGAAAUUUUUACUUGACAAAGAAAAAAUUAAUGUUGAAAAGUGUUUGAUGAUUCCUAAUCUAAAAUGGAGUGGAUUGUUUAUUUUAUUUUUUGAAGAUGUAUAAUAUGGAAAUUCUAUGUUUUCUUUAGUGAAGUUUAUCAUAAGGUUCAUAACAUUUAAGAUUGACAUAAAAUCGAAAGGAUGCCUGAUGAAUUCAAAAAGAAAAUACUUCGGAGAUCUUUUGAAGGUAGUUUUAUCCAAUGGCUAAUAAAGAUAUCAUUGGUAUACUGGUUUUAUUGGCCAUGCAUGCAUCAAAUGCCAUUUUCAUCUAUUUGGAUUUGAUAAUAAAAAUAUUUGUAUGUAUGUCAAUAAUGUUCUUUACCAUGAUAAAAAAACUAAUACGAAGCAAAGCAUUAAUAGUAUUAAUUAUCUUAUCUUAAUAGUACAGGCAACUUAGUAGAUUGAUCGGGAAAACUCAAUUACAUUACUGCUAGCACUAUUUUGUUUUAAAGAACCAAAAUAAGACUCCUGAGUUGAUUUUGAUAAUAUAAUCUCAAUGAUAUGAUUGUAAUCUUUGUUAUAUUCAAUUUUGUAAGAUGUAGCGGUAGUCUCAGACGAACUUAAAGUUUGGGUUUUGAAUAGUAAUAAUCCAAUGUAAUCUUCAUGAUCUAUCGAUGAGAGUUCAGACGCCUAACUGGCCUGCCCCAUUAUUGUUUGCCGAAGUUUUAGGGCUUUUAGUUUACCUAAGUUAAGGCUCAUUUUAAACUCUAAUAAUGAUUUCAGCAGGAUAGUUUUAGUCAGUUUUGAUUUUUGAAGUAGUCUAAAAAGUCUUUAUAAGUACCUAUAUGAUCUUCAUCUUUCUCUAGGAUUUUGUUUAAUGAAAUUGUGAGUACUUUGUUUUCAUUAGGCAUGUAUGCUUAGUGAAAUGUCUUAUACUCUUGCUCUCUUCGUCAUCUUCUUCUCUUUUUAUUGCUAUGGCAUUUUCAACAUGCUGAUCAUUGCACAAAAUAACCCUUUAAACUUCUACAUUCAAACUUUUUUGUUACAUUAAUUUCUUGCACUCUUUUGAUUCUUAAUUGGUUCAAACCAGAAUUGAUUCCUAAACCUUAAGAUUUAGUUCUACCAUUGCAAAAACUAAAAUCAUUUUCUACCUUUAGGCCACCAUUAUAAGCCCUAAUGUGGUAGGUUUCCCCUAAUUUGUUCUACUUAACGCAUACUUUGGCGUAGAAUGUAUUAAUAGCAUGUAUUAGUGAAUGACUCUUAUGUUGGUUUGAAAUGCAAACGCAUGUGGAGGAAUUGACUUUAUUAAAGAUAUUAAUAGAUAAUGUAAACAGAUUUUUAAUUGCUAAAAAAAAUUUAUACAUUUUAUUGUAGUUUCUUGAUAUUGUUAAAUCUUGUUUGGAAAAAUUGAUAAAUUUAUUUAGAAAAUUUGUUGGGAUAUCUAUAUAUAUUGAAUUUAUCUGGUUUGAGAUGAAGGUUUGUUGAUCUACUAUAAUUGGUUUUUAUAUUUGUAUAAAUUAAGGAAUUGGGUUUAUUUAUUUUCUGUAGGAUAAGUGAUGUAUAGACAUAAAACAUUGUGUUUGAUAGGAGAGAGAGAGUCUUUCAAUCAUCUCAUUUGUUUGGUAGGAAGGAAAUAGGAAGAAGAAAAAUGAGUGGAUUUAUACCUUUUCCUUUCUCCAAAUCCAAUCCUUCCAAAUAUGAGAAGAAAAUACUUAUUCAACUUAAAUUAACAAUUUUAUCUCUAACAUCUUUCUUUCCCUUUAUUUUCCAUCCUCCAAACAAACACAUUGAAGGAAAAAUAACUUUCCUUUUAUGUUUGCUCACCUUUUUCCCUUCUUUCCAUUUUCUUUCCUUCCUACCAAAUAUAGUGUAAGAGAUAUAAAAUAUAAAUACUAAGAAUAUUUGAGAUCGUGGCCUUCAUUAGUUGUAUGAUUGAUUUAAGUUAGAAUGAUAUCUUUAACUUGAAAUCUUAUGCUUCUUUCAAGUUAUUGAAUAUACAGUCAAGGGUUUUAUUUUACUAUUUUUUUUUGUGUUAUUAGCAUUUUCUAAAUGUUUAGCAAUUAUUUUGUCAAAAUUCUAUGUUUUUUUCUUUUCCUUGCAAUAUAGAACAAGUUUAUGAGAUUUGAGCAGCGUUAUAUGUUAGGUUUUAUGAGAUAUCUUCAGCUGUUAUGUUUCUUUGGAUUUUUCAUCUACCAAAAUGUAACCAAUCCUACUUCAAAGAAACCAUUGGAUUUCAACCCUAAUUUAUUGUUUAAAGUCAUAGCAUAGUUCAAAAAUAGCUUUCUAAACCUUGAUUUUUUUCGUAAAGUAUCCAUACUUUUAAAUUUUGACCUCAGGUAACUCUAAAACCUAAAAGUUACUGCAUAAAACCCAUAUUUUCAUUACUGAAAAUUUUCAUUCAUCCAAAGAAAGCAGGAAUGCUGGAUAACUUACUAUAAAUAGUACAAAGCUGCAGAAUAGCGCUGAAACAACCGCAACCACCAGAUAAAAAAUAAGACAAAGGGACCCUCAUGAAAUAGCAAAUCAAAACAUCUAAUCCCUAACUUUGACAAAAAGCUUUGGUUAAGGCUUGUUCGUUGUAACAGAGGAGUCUGUAUACUCUUUUUUCCUACUUUCCAACAAGGCAUCAUGAUCAAGAAACCUCUCAUCCUCCUCUUAGCUAGCAUCUCAUUGUCAUAUUGAGAAAAAUUUUGGAGGUAAGUGCCCUCACUUCCUCUCUUCCUUUAACCUCAUUGUUCUCCUAAAAAAAUUGAAUUUCAUUCAAAGAUAAAGGUGUUCAAGGUUUCAAAUCCUUCUUUUUUCUUCUUUAAUUUCGUCAUUUUGUUAUGUUCUUUUUAAUUUGCCAUUUCAAUUUUCUUCAACAAAAUAAAUAAGAGGAAAACAUAUAUAUGAUCUUGAGUUUGCCCUCUUGUGCUUGUUAUCUUAAUUUUUCAUGGUGUAUUUUGAAGUGUAAAAAUUUGUGACAAAUAUAAUUAGACCUGCGAUUUAUGUAUUUGUGUCAUAUAAAAUAUUGAAAGCUGUGUAUUCUCGUUGUGUUUUAUACAAAAAUUACUUGUCACAAUUCAUGUCAACAUAAAAACAUGAAACAUAUAUUUUUUUAUUUGUUAAACUCAUAUAUAAUUAUUGUUAAAAUUUUAGAUAACGUCACAUUUAUCCUUUUUUUGUGUCGUAUUCAUAUCACGUCAUUAUAUUAUAUUUUAGAUUGUUAGGCCUAAUGGGUCUACCUAUGGUAAUAUUUUGUUGUCCAAAUGAUAGGUGAUGUAGAGACAAAAAAAACUCUAAUAGUGUGUUCGGUAAAAGGGAAGAGAAAGGAAAGAUGGUGAAAAAAAAAGAUUACCUUGUUUACACCUUUUUCUUUCAUUUGGUAGGAAGAAAAUAGGAAGCAAGAUGGAAAAUGAUUGGAUUUAUGCCUUUUCUUUCUCUCUAAAUCCAAUCCUUCCAAAUGUAAGAGGAAAAUACCCAUUCAACUUAAAUUAACAAUUUUAUUUAUAAUAUUACCCCUAACAUCUUUUUUGCCCUCUAUCUUUCAUUCCAAUACCAAACUGCAAACACAAUGAAGGAAAAAUAACUUUCCUUCCUCCCAUUCCUUUUUAUUCCUCACCUUUUCCCCUUCCCACCACUUUCUUUCCUACCAAACAUAGUGUGAGAAAAAUAAAAAAAUAAAUACUAAGAAUAUUUGAGAUUGUAGCCUUCAUUAGUUGAGUGAUUUAAGUUAGAAUGGAUACUAUUAAGUUGAAAUAUUAUGCUUCUUUCAAGUUAAUGUACAUACUGUUGUCUUGAGCAGAGAUUUAAAUUGUAGUUGUGAUCGUAUUUUCGGUUUGUCAUGUUUAUUAUAGUUACAAACAUAACAGAUAAGAUAACAGUAAUCACGCUUAUCGCGAUCGUGAAAUUUUUUUAUUUUUGAACAACUCAUCACAAAUGAAGUAAAUAUUAUGGAUACUCAUUAACACUCAUAUUUUAUAUUAUUUAAAAAAUUUUAAAACAUUUUAAUUACAUUUUUUACAUG